UCCCUAAGGGCAGCGGCCCCAGUGACUGCAUGACACAGGCCUACCCCCUGCACGCAGAGAUGCCCAUCGUAGAUGUGCCCAUGCCAAGGAAACUGCCCAGCGCCAAGCUGCGCACCACAGACCACUUCCUGGAGGUCAAGCUGGAGUCCUACAAUACACGCUUCUUCCACAUCAAGGAGGACUUUGCCUACACAGAGGUUAACGGCAGGAAGUUGUACCAGCCAGAUGAUGGGGUGCAGCU